CAAUGUGAAGUAGGAUGGUUUCAGUUUGCCGAGAGCUAGUCCCUAACUGAAUUUUCAGAGGCUUGUAAUGUGAGAAAAUAUUCUACGUGGAACAUAAUGUUAAGAGAUGCUGCUUUGUAGUCUUCAACUUCCUUAUGGUGGAAGAAGAAGCAGGAAUUGUGAAAUCUAAUGCUUGGUGGCCUCAGCCCAGCGCUAUUGGAAAUCAUCAUGACUCUUUCCAUUGACUUUAUUGGGCAAUGGCUCUGGUUACCAUGAAUUAUUUGAGACGUGGCAACACUGAUGGUUUACAAAUACUUCCUUUUUCCUACUUGAGAGGAGAAAAGGGAAUGCAGGAUGCCCUGAAUCAUCUAGUCCUAUCCACCCUUGCCACCCAACGGUCAAGGUGUCAAAUUUACACCCGUGCUUCUUUGAGAGGAAGCUUCAGCAGCUUUUCCACACGUGCUGCUUCCUUCCUGCAUGGUUUGGGAAAUGCUGAACCUAGUGCAGCCCAAAAAGCAUCUGCUGGUGCCCCUGCUCACUGCACAGCGCAGCUGUCGGCAUGCACAACAUCACCCUAAAAACACAUAGCAGGGACACUCCUUGCAGAAAAAUGGAAGAUGUGUACCUAGGAAAAAUACUGGUAAGACACUGAGAAUGAAUAGUUUGACCUCCUUCUGCUUCCAUGGUCUGAUUGCACAGAAUUGGGGCUAGCUGAUAUAAUGGCUCUUGAUGUUCAUUGACAGUCGAAUCCUUUGAACAAUGAAAUACUAGUUAGGCUGAAAUGCUUAAUGAAUCUUGGCUGACUAGCCAAGUCAGCUAUAGAGGCACUUUCUUGUCAGUAUUUUUGAGUUUUAAAAGCAAAUACCUGACCUGCUGUUUUGUUUUGACCCUGAAAAUGAGUGACUUUUCUCUUAUGACUCAACCUUUGUAAUCAGCUGAAUCCCCAUAGUCUGGAUACAGCCAGCUUUACGCUAUGUUAUCUGACCGGACAGGACUCAGGUGCCUGUAAGAGAGCUAUUUACAGCAGGCCAGCAGUGCAGAAUCCCAAAUCCAGAGUUACAGGCUCAACCUCCUUAUAUUGGAUGAGUUAGCUUUGUUAGAAUUACAGUCUAAAAAUCCAGUAUACUGAACAACAAAAUACUGAUGCCUAAACAAUAAGACAGGAGAGAAGGAGGCAAUUCUGACUCUCAAGAGUUGAGCUGGUUGUGAAACAAAGCUGCAGAUAGGCAUUUCCUGCUCAAACUGCAGAGUUCCCUUCUGCACAUAUGGAUCAGCGUAAAAGAAUGAGAUCCAGGUUGCAGAUUUUUUUCCUCUGAUUUUAAAUUGCAUUAUUUAUUUAUUUAUUCAUUUUCCCUGCACAAGCAAGAACAGUGACCUGAAAGUCUCUCCUUCCAGGUUAACUUGCUAUGUGGUAGGACUCUGGAGAAAUAUUCUCUCUCAUGCUGGAUGCUCCUCUUCAAGAAAUCGUGUAAUCCUUCCUUUAGUUCACAUGAAAAGAGUCACCUGGUUUCAAAGUUCUUGCAUGAGUGACAUAAAAGGUAUUUUCAUGUAGAUCUGAAGUGUUAGCAUGCAGGCUAAGCAAGCAGUGAAGUCUAAGUCUAAUCAAGUUCAAUAAAAUAUUAACAAUUUUGUUAGUAAGCA
rnacentral:lncRNA from 1 species